GUCGGGAAAUAAUCGAGUUCCGGUUUCCGUUGGUCAGGUGGACAAUCGCGAGGUGUUCCUUGAUUUCACCGUUGACAAACGGCCAAUCUCGAUGCGACCGCUGAGGGUUGUGGGUACUGGAACCAACCAGGCAGUAAGACCAGAACCUGCGGAAAAUCUUUGGUCAUCAACGCCUACUUAGUCCAGCUGCGCAGUGUGUGAGCCUAAGGUUGGACCCGAGGUUGGACAUGUCCUGCGUACUGAGGGCAACACGAUGCUGGCGCUCUAGCUGGUGGGACAGAAAAGUUCGCCGCUUCAACAACAACA